AGCGAACGCUGGCGGCAGGCUUAACACAUGCAAGUCGAACGGGCAUCUUCGGAUGUCAGUGGCAGACGGGUGAGUAACACGUGGGAACGUACCCUUCGGUUCGGAAUAACUCAGGGAAACUUGAGCUAAUACCGGAUACGCCCUUUUGGGGAAAGGUUUACUGCCGAAGGAUCGGCCCGCGUCUGAUUAGCUUGUUGGUGGGGUAACGGCCUACCAAGGCGACGAUCAGUAGCUGGUCUGAGAGGAUGAUCAGCCACACUGGGGCUGAGACACGGCCCAGACUCCUACGGGAGGCAGCAGUGGGGAAUAUUGGACAAUGGGCGCAAGCCUGAUCCAGCCAUGCCGCGUGAGUGAUGAAGGCCUUAGGGUUGUAAAGCUCUUUUGUCCGGGACGAUAAUGACGGUACCGGAAGAAUAAGCCCCGGCUAACUUCGUG
rnacentral:rRNA from 1 species